rnacentral:lncRNA from 1 species
UACGACUAAGUACAAGAGAGAUAUAGUUUUGAGGAAAGCAGUAUUCUAUUAUUUGAGAGCAAAAAGAGUACGUACAACUGAAUUAUUUAUAGGAAGUGGAAGCCAUGAGUAUAUAUAGACUACUCGCUAUCCAAAAGAGCAAAUAGAAAAGCGUCGAGUGACACAAAGCUACAAACCAAAACAGAAUACUACGAGCUCCCAAGGAACCGUAUUUAUUACAUCUCCUAAAAUCCU